GCUUUAUCUAUCACGUUAUCUUCAUGUCCUAGCCCAGCUGUGCACAUCGUUCACCACAGACUCUAAUAUACAGUUUUUUGUUUUCUUCGCGACGCUUCUUUGUCUACGGCGAAGACGAUUGGGAUUCGUUUUGUUUCCGUUACUGAAAUCGGAUCUGAGAAUCGGUCCAUUCCGUUUCAUGACUGUUAAUAAUUGCGUUCUUCAGUCGGCUAAUCCGUGUAUAAAUAGGCAAGCAUCAGUGCUAAUCGGCUCCCACGGUUCCAGGAGAGACUCACUGCCGGAUCAAUGUUCUCCAUAUCCGGAUUUGACGGCUUGCAGAUUCUUCUUUCCUCAUCCGGUUCAAUGAGUCCACUUCAUUUGAAGAGAUAUUUGAGCCAGUCUCACCCUUGCCCAAAGAAGGUUUCCGGUUCCAUAACCAGUCGGAACUGUUUGGUUUGGCUAACACAAACAGCCAGCUACCAGAUGUCAUAGGAGAGGUUCUUGGAGCACUGUUACUGAUCCUCCGGAGGAGAAGAAUCGGGUCAUGGUGACAAUGAAAUUGGAUAG